rnacentral:rRNA from 1 species
UACAGAGACCUCAAGCGUUAUCCGGAAUCAUUGGGCGUAAAGCGUACCGAUAUGUUGUCAUGAUAGUUUUGGGUAAAAGCCAGAAGCUCAACUUCUGCGUUUGCUCAAAAUACUUCACGACUAGAGGGGCAAAGAGGUGCUUGGAACGAAUGGUGUAGUAGUGAAAUGCGUUGAUAUCAUUCGGAACACCGAAAGCGAAGGCAGAGCACUGGGUGCCACCUGACACUGCUAGGACGAGAGCGUGGGUAGCGAAUGGG